GGUAAGUUCCGACCUGCACGAAUGACAUAAUGAUGGCAGCGCUGUCUCCAGCAGAGACUCAGUGAAAUCGAAAUCGCAGUGAAGAUGCUGUGUACCCGCGGCUAGACGGAAAGACCCCGUGAACCUUUACUACAGCUUUACAUUGAACUUUGACCUGACUUGUGCAGGAUAGGUGGGAGGCUUUGAAGCAGACACGCUAGUGUUUGUGGAGCCAAUCUUGAAAUACCACCCUGGUCAUGUUGGGGUUCUAACUCAGGUAUAACAAUACCGAGGACAAUGUAUGGUGGGUAGUUUGACUGGGGCGGUCUCCUCCUAAAGAGUAACGGAGGAGUACGAAGGUUGGCUAAGUACGGUCGGACAUCGUACGGUUAGUGUAAUGGUAGAAGCCAGCUUAACUGCGAGACAGACACGUCGAGCAGGUACGAAAGUAGGUCAUAGUGAUCCGGUGGUUCUGAAUGGAAGGGCCAUCGCUCAACGGAUAAAAGGUACUCUGGGGAUAACAGGCUGAUACCGCCCAAGAGUUCAUAUCGACGGCGGUGUUUGGCACCUCGAUGUCGGCUCAUCUCAUCCUGGGGCUGAAGCAGGUCCCAAGGGUAUGGCUGUUCGCCAUUUAAAGAGGUACGCGAGCUGGGUUUAGAACGU
rnacentral:rRNA from 1 species